rnacentral:misc_RNA from 1 species
GAUGAAGAACGUAGCGAAAUGCGAUACGUAAUGUGAAUUGCAGAAUUCAGUGAAUCAUCGAAUCUUUGAACGCACAUUGCGCCCGCCAGCACUCUGGCGGGCAUGCCUGUUCGAGCGUCAUUUCAACCAUCAAGCCCCAGGCUUGCGUUGGAGCCCUGCGGCUGCCGCAGCCUCCUAAAAGCAGUGGCGGGCUCGCUAUCACACCGAGUGCAGUAGAUUACUCUUCGCUCAGGGCGUGCUGCGGGUUCCGGCCGUUAAACCACCUUCAUAACCCAAGGUUGACCUCGGAUCAGGUAGGAAGACCCGCUGAACUUAAGCAUAUCAAUAAGCGGAGGA